AAUCAUAUAAGUAAAUAUAAAAACACUGACUGAUUUAAAGGAGAACAGAACUUAACAGAGUCCAUAGGUGGAUCCGAGAGAAGCAUUCAAGAACAGACCUAAGCUGUUGAAGGUACCGUCCUACAAGAUUUGUUCUACAUGUUGCUGUUCUCCCUGAGUCCAUACUUCCUGUGUUCUUGUCAAGAACGUACUUGGUGAGAAAACAAGUUCUUGUGAAAUGGCCCGUGAGACAAAGAUUUCACCAUCUCUAAGUGUUACAGUGCUCAAGCAUGUCUGAAUGCAGAUGGAGAAAAAGCUAUGUUGAUAAAAAGCCAAAAAAGCCCCUCUGGUCAUCAUCACCUUUCCCAGUGACAAAACACCAGCUCACUAUGGACCACAGUGUACCAUCUCCCCUUUCGAGGUUGGAUGGAAACAACUUCACUACCACCUGCAUGUCAUUUGGUUUACUGAACAUCCGCUCUUUGAACAAGAAGAGUCAAAUUGUCUACAGGCUCCUAGAGGACAAACAGUUGGAUUUCUUAUGUCUUACUGAAACCUGGCAGCAAGAAAAUGAUUUUAUGCAGCUCAAAAAGGCUGUACCAUCUGGAUUUGUUUACACCUGUAAACCACGUUCUGGUGGAAGAGGGGGUGGUCUUGCAAUGAUCUACAGUAACAAAUGGAUUGUGUCUCCUCUCCAAGUCUCUGCCUACAACUCAUUUGAAACAGCAAUAUAUCAAAUCCAUGGACUUCCUCCCAUCAUUUUAGGUAUCCUCUAUCGACCACCAACACACAGUAAGGAUUUUAUAAGUGAUCUGUCUUCUCUUUUAGGGCAUCUGCGCCCUUUAUCCCAAAAUAUUAUCCUGCUGGGAGAUUUCAAUAUUCCCAUGGACAAAAUCAACAGCCCUCUGGUGAGAGAUUUAGCUUCUGUUUUAGACAGUUUUAAAAUGCAGCAGCAUGUUAAUUUUCCCACACACAAUAAAGGACAUAUCCUUGACCUUGUAUGCUGCUCCGCUCUAACUCCUUUCAGCUUUGCUGCAUCAGAUCUGAAGGACUCUGACCAUAAACUUAUUUUAUUUGAUGUUAUGAAACCAUGCAAGACCAAUGUCCUCUGAAAUGUAAGAAACUAUUAUCUUCUUCCUCUAGAUAACAUAACAGAUUCAAGGAUUCUAAAAAUGUUAUGAACUGUAAAAAAAGAAAAAAAGAAAGAAAAAGAAAACUUCAGCAAAAUCCCACUUUUUGUGAUCAAGUGUCCUCCUGUGUCCAUGUGCAUUAAGGUUAGCUACAGUCCUAUGGAUCAUGAAUUUCUGAAAAAUGUAUGGAACUGUAAUCACAGGAACAUCAAGGUACUUGGAGAUGGUUUUUAAGCCUUUACCUUUGUCCAUAAUUUUAGUCCAUGUUGGGUGCAGUAUUCACCAUGGCACCAAACAGUACAGUGACUACCUAUAGCCUAAAUAUACAGUAUAUAGGCCCACUAACUAAUUACAAGAUUAUAGACACCUCUAAAGCUAAUUAGUGGACAAACCUUAAAUUAAUAUGUCCCUUUUGUCACAUUAUUUUUCUUUUGUAUAGGUACCCUCAUUCUCAGACCCCUUUUAUAAGUUUAUUAAUAUAUCAUUCUGUUAAAGCAUGGUUGAAAAGCAAUAUCUGACUUUAAUUUGUUCUUAUAUGUAGAAUUUUUAUUUGUCACUAUGUUUUUCAGAUUCAAGUUAUUUUUUUGAGAAUUGUGUUUGUUUAUUUUUUAAUAAAUGAGGGG